rnacentral:lncRNA from 1 species
UGGCUCAGUACAGAGUAAUCAUGAACGCAAGCCCAACUACUCUGUGACAAGAUGGGCCCAAUCUUCAACUACAAAUCUUUCUCUCCGUGGUAAUCAAUCAUUGUCCAUAUUUUUGGUCUUAACGGAUUGCCGCUCACUUCUGCAUUUAAAUCGUCGGGGGGUGGGGACACACACGUAGCAUAUAUAUGUACAAUUAAGGAAUUAAUAUAGAAUAGCUAGU